UACGUAGGGUGCGAGCGUUGUCCGGAAUUACUGGGCGUAAAGAGCUCGUAGGUGGUUUGUCGCGUUGUUCGUGAAAACCUGAGGCUUAACCUUGGGCGUGCGGGCGAUACGGGCAGACUGGAGUACUGCAGGGGAGACUGGAAUUCCUGGUGUAGCGGUGAAAUGCGCAGAUAUCAGGAAGAACACCAAUGGCGAAGGCAGCUCUCUGGGACGGUACUGACGCUGAGACGCGAAAGCGUGGGAGCGAAGCAGG
rnacentral:rRNA from 1 species